rnacentral:rRNA from 1 species
UACGCAGGGGGCGAGCGUUGUCCGGAUUCAUUGGGCGUAAAGCGCGCGUAGGCGGCAGGGCAAGUCGGCCGUGAAAUCUCCCAGCUUAACUGGGAGGGGUCGGGCGAGACUGCCCCGCUAGAGGCGGGUAGAGGGCAGUGGAAUUCCGGGUGUAGUGGUGGAAUGCGUAGAGAUCCGGAGGAACACCAGUGGCGAAGGCGGCUGCCUGGGCCUGGCCUGACGCUGAGGCGCGAAAGCGUGGGGAGCGAUCCGG